rnacentral:rRNA from 1 species
UACAUGGGGUGCAAACGUUGCUCGGAAUUAUUGGGCGUAAAGCGCACGUAGGCGGUUCGUUAAGUCGGAUGUGAAAGCCCUCGGCUCAACUGAGGAAGUGCACCCGAAACUGGCGAGCUUGAGUACGAAAGAGGAUCGCGGAAUUCCCGGUGUAGAGGUGAAAUUCGUAGAUAUCGGGAGGAACACCAGUGGCGAAGGCGGCGAUCUGGGAAGAUACUGACGCUGAGGAGCGAAAGCGUGGGGAGCAAACAGG